rnacentral:lncRNA from 1 species
UUCUCGGAGCAAGUUCCACUAUGGACUCCGCUACCAUCAUGUCAUUGGUAAGUUUCUGAACUCCUCGACGCUGCAAUUCUUGCUUCGCCCAUGGUUUCAACCCAUCUAUAAAAGAGAAAAAUGCUUUCUUCCCAAUCAAAUCAGAGAUUUGGAGUAUGAGUUCACUGAACUCCAGCACAUCCUCCCUAAUCGUGCCUCGUUGUGUUAGCCAUCGCAACUUUGCUCGAGCUUCAUCCUCGGCAUACUCGGGAUAAAACUGUGCUUUAAAUUCACUUUGGAACUCCUUCCAAGUCCCAAU